AGCAGCCGCGGUAAUUCCAGCUCCAAUAGCGUAUAUUAAAGUUGUUGCAGUUAAAAAGCUCGUAGUUGAACUUCGGGGUCUACCCAUUGGUCAGGCUUAAUUGUCUGCACUGGUGAAAUGGAUCUCUACCUUCUGAGGAACUUUCAUGCCAUUUAUUUGGUGUGGUUGGAAAUCAGGACUGUUACUUUGAAAAAAUUAGAGUGUUUAAAGCAGACUAUCGUCUGAAUACAUUAGCAUGGAAUAAUGAAAUAGGACGGACUGAUUCUAUUUCGUUGGUAUCUAGGAUCACCGUAAUGAUUAAUAGGGAUAGUUGGGGGCAUUAGUAUUCAAUUGUCAGAGGUGAAAUUCUUGGAUUUAUUGAAGACUAACUACUGCGAAAGCAUUUGCCAAGGAUGUUUUCAUUAAUCAAGAACGAAAGUUAGGGGAUCGAAGACGAUCAGAUACCGUCGU
rnacentral:rRNA from 1 species